CCUCUGUUUCCAUUGAAGACCUUGCUUACAAGAAAGGAAGAAAUCAAUGGUGCACGAAACAUAGCUAAGCAACAUCGACCACAAGCCAAGAGACACCUUGGAGCCACCCCAGAAAGACUAUGAACAACCACUAGCGACACCAAGCCCGGAACAGUCACCAACCGACGGAUGAAAUGAUGGAAGUCUUGGAUCUGCCAAAAACCAAAACAGGAAAGUAGCAUUUGAGAGAUUUUUAGUGCC
rnacentral:lncRNA from 1 species